GCCUGAGUGGCUCAGUUGGUUGAGCGUCCGACUACGGCUCAGGUCACGAUCUUACGAUGCGUGAGUUCGAGCCCCGCCUAGGGCU
rnacentral:tRNA from 1 species